AUCCAUUGAAAACGGUUGUCGUUGAUAUUCCUAUUGGUUAGACAAACCUUGGUCUCAUAACUAAGGGAAAUACUUACCCACAUUCUAUUGAGAUAAUCCGUUCCUCUUUACGGAAAACCCAACACGUAUCACAAGUAUGAGGAAGGAUUUAUGGCGCCCGUUCCGGGGAAUAUCAUUACCAACUACCAAGCAACUUCACACAAAUUUUCAUUCGCUUGUUCUCCUUCUUAUUA
rnacentral:lncRNA from 1 species